GCUCGCUUGGCUCAGUGGUAGAGCGUAUCACUAGUAGCCGCAAAUGAUAAGGUCAUCAGUUCGAUUCUGAUAGUGAGCA
rnacentral:tRNA from 1 species